UCAGACAGUAGAAAGACAAAAGGACAUUUCAGUCUCUGGUCCAAAUCCCAAGUGCCUCCAACAGCGCUGUCUUCACGAACCAGGGUGGCAGACUUACAGGAGCAAAAUGCACUAGCUAUUGAACAAAGAUUGCCUCGCCAACGGAUCCCACCAUCCUCACCAUUCAACUCUCCGGCUGUGUUCUUCGGGCACAUAUUCCAAUGACUUGGUUCACCCCGUGUCUCCACAUAAGGAUUGACCAUCCAGGAGACGGAACCAUGGACACCCUCCUGACAGGGUGUCCCAUGACCGGAGACACCAUGUGGGCAUACGGCCAUGGCCUAAUGAACCACGGAAGUCCCC